GACGAACGCUGGCGGCGUGCUUAACACAUGCAAGUCGAACAGUGGCGAACGGGUGAGUAACACGUGAGUAACCUGCCCUCCACUUUGGGAUAACUCCGAGAAAUCGGGGCUAAUACUGGAUAGUGGGGGAUGGGCUCGCGGCCUAUCAGUUUGUUGGUGAGGUAGUGGUCACCAAGGCGUGACGGGUAGCCGGCCUGAGAGGGCGACCGGCCACACUGGGACUGAGACACGGCCCAGACUCCUACGGGAGGCAGCAGUGGGGAAUAUUGCACAAUGGGCGAAAGCCUGAUGCAGCGACGCCGCGUGGGGGAUGACGGCCUUCGGGUUGUAAACCUCUUUCAGCAAGGAAGCGGUACUUGCAGAAGAAGCGCCGGCUAACUACGUGCCAGCAGCCGCGGUAAUAC
rnacentral:rRNA from 1 species